CAAUGGACGAAAGUCUGAUGGAGCAACGCCGCGUGAGUGAAGAAGGGUUUCGGCUCGUAAAACUCUGUUGUUAAAGAAGAACAUAUCUGAGAGUAACUGUUCAGGUAUUGACGGUAUUUAACCAGAAAGCCACGGCUAACUACGUGCCAGCAGCCGCGGUAAUACGUAGGUGGCAAGCGUUGUCCGGAUUUAUUGGGCGUAAAGCGAGCGCAGGCGGUUUUUUAAGUCUGAUGUGAAAGCCUUCGGCUCAACCGAAGAAGUGCAUCGGAAACUGGGAA
rnacentral:rRNA from 1 species